UGGAAGACAAAAUGAAGCUUGCUAUCCAUCCCAAGCAAAUCCAAUAAAAUAGCAAAUCUCUAAGUGACUAUAAUUUUCAAGAAAUGGUUUGUUUACAGGAUGAAAGAAUAUCUUCCUUAUCACGUGUGUAUGGGUUCCUCCCCAUUCCCCCUCCAUGCUUGAUGGAAACUUUUUGUCGGUUUUAAACAUACUAAUAUACUACAAACACAGACACAAAUUUGUUCAUUAAACACAUCGUUGGAUCAACACUAACACUGGUGACAGUUACCACUUGCCACAUUACAAUAGACAACUCCGUUAACAUUCUCCUGGAAACACUUGAAGAUAAGACAUUCCAAAGUAAAAGUUAUUGUUUGCUUUUUUUGUUCAGUCUCCCAAGAACUAGCUAGUUGGUCUGUCUUGCUCGUGCAUAAUGUAAAGUCCACUCAAGAAAUAACACGUGGCUAGAAUGUAAAGACAAAAACGUUGCGAGAAUGUUCAUCAUUAAUCCUUGAUUAUAAUAUUUAAACUAAAAAAUAUAUAUUAUACUUCACCUUGUUC
rnacentral:lncRNA from 1 species